GAUGAACGCUGGCGGCGUGCCUAAUACAUGCAAGUCGAGCGAACAGACGAGGAGCUUGCUCCUCUGACGUUAGCGGAGGACGGGUGAGUAACACGUGGAUAACCUACCUAUAAGACUGGGAUAACUUCGGGAAACCGGAGCUAAUACCGGAUAAUAUAUUGAACCGCAUGGUUCAAUAGUGAGAGACGGUUUUGCUGUCUCUUAUAGAUGGAUCCGCGCCGCAUUAGCUAGUUGGUAAGGUAACGGCUUACCAAGGCAACGAUGCGUAGCCGACCUGAGAGGGGGAUCGGCCACACUAGAACGGGAACACGGUCCAGACUCCUACGGUAGGCAGCAGUAGGGAAUCUUCCGCAAUGGGCGGAAGCCUGACGGAGCAACGCCGCGUGAGUGAUGAAGGUCUUCGGAUCGUAAUACUCUGUUAUUAGGGAAGAACAAAUGUGUAAGUAACUAUGCACGUCUUGACGGUACCUAAUCAGAAAGCCACGGCUAACUACGUG
rnacentral:rRNA from 1 species